rnacentral:rRNA from 1 species
AUACGGAGGGUGCAAGCGUUACUCGGAAUCACUGGGCGUAAAGCGCGCGCAGGCGGCUUGAUAAGUUGGAUGUGAAAGCCUACGGCUCAACCGUAGAACUGCAUCCAAAACUGUCAGGCUAGAGUGUGGGAGAGGAAGAUGGAAUUAGCUGUGUAGGGGUAAAAUCCGUAGAGAUAACUAGGAAUACCAAAAGCGAAGGCAAUCUUCUGGAACGCUACUGACGCUGAGGCGCGAAGGCGUGGGGAGCAAACAGGAUUAGAAACCCCGGUAGUCC